GGGGAUGUAGCUCAGUGGUUAGAGCAUCCGCCUUAUAAGCGGAAGGUCGCAGGUUCGAUCCCUGCCAUCCCCACAA
rnacentral:tRNA from 1 species